rnacentral:rRNA from 1 species
UACGUAGGGUGCGAGCGUUAAUCGGAAUUACUGGGCGUAAAGCGUGCGCAGGCGGUUUUGUAAGCCAGAUGUGAAAGCCCCGGGCUUAACCUGGGAAUGGCGCUUGAGACUGGAUAGCUUGGAGUGUGGCAGAGGGAGGUGGAAUUCCACGUGUAGCAGUGAAAUGCGUAGAGAUCCGGAGGAACACCAGUGGCGAAGGCGACCCGCUGGGCCGUACCUGACACUGAGACGCGACAGCAUGGGGAGCGAACGGG